AUGAAGACAUCCAUGGGAGCUUUAUUCAUGUUCUCAUGGCUACAGCUGAACUGGUUCAGCCUGGGAGAGAAUGUGGAGCAGCAUCCUCCUACCCUGAGUGUCCAGGAGGGAAGCAUCUCUGUUAUCAACUACAGUUAUUCAGACAAUACCUCAGACUACUUCCUCUGGUAUAAGCAAGAACUUGGAAAAGGUCCCCAGCUCCUUAUAGACCUUCAUUCAAGUGUGGCCACAAAAGAACAAAGAGUCACAGUCUCAUUGAAUAGGACGGCCAAACACCUCUCCCUGUCCAACAGAGACACCCAGCCUGAAGACUCAGCUGUGUACUUCUGUGCAGCAAGCACACAUUGCUUCCCAGGCACCUGUUGCCUCCACUCCAACCUGAAACUGGGGCAUCCCCUGUCCUUUGACAUAGACAAACAAAUUAUGUUUUGUGCUGUUGUUUAUCCACAAGUGGAAGCUAACAUAUUAGACAUUAAAAGCAUAUAA